rnacentral:lncRNA from 1 species
GUCCGCCCCUAACAUCACAAACUACAUAGAUUAUGUUCAUUAAUUAACAUCUGUUAUCUUGUGAUAAGGCAUUACGUAUAUAGGCUACAAGAUAAAUCCUGAAGUAGUCAUAAUAGUCUUACAGGAUUAAAAACAAAUUUCCUACUACUAAUGUAGACUUUAUGAAUAUUUUCGUUCUGAACUGUUCCGCUGUAAUUUAGGUAUCGAGUUACUAGAUAAGGUGGCUCGAUAUAGUUAUUACAAAAACCCUGCUCAAGAAUCGCGAACUCAAAACGGGGUGAUCACUUUUACGCGCAGGUCGCGGAAACUGAUUAACAAAAUGAAAGAACUUCCAAAAUGAUCUGACGUGAGCAGUUGCUCGCGCCAUAUCACGCCAUUGCACGUGUUCUAUAGCAUUUUAUGACAAUUGCUGACGUCAUUAGAAUUUUCCAUUUUAGAAAAACAAUGCAGCGCUAUAUCUCUUUAUUUUGUCUGGUGACUUAUGUUCAAAUUUUGCAUGCUGUAUUGCACUGCUAAAAACUUUCAUUAUACAAAAAAUAAAAAAAUU